AGAGAGAGACAUGCGCGCAUAUCAAUAAGCGGAGGAAAAGAAACUAACAAGGAUUCCCUUAGUAACGGCGAGUGAAGCGGGAAGAGCUCAAGUUUGAAAUCUUCAAGGUUCUACCUUGACGAAUUGUAGUUUAUAGAAGUGUUUUCUGUUAGUGGAGUGGCAAAAGUUCUUUGGAAUAGGACAUCAUAGAGGGUGAGAAUCCCGUAUUUGGUCAUUCCUCCUAGCGUUGUGAUACACUUUCAACGAGUCGGAUUGUUUGGGAAUGCAGUCCAAAAUGGGUGGUAAAUUUCAUCUAAAGCUAAAUAUUGGCGAGAGACCGAUAGCGAACAAGUACCGUGAGGGAAAGAUGAAAAGAACUUUGAAAAGAGAGUUAAACAGUACGUGAAAUUGUCAAAAGGGAAGCGUUUGACACCAGUGUUGUUUUUCCGAAAAUCAAUUACGAAUGUUUUAUUUUUGAGGAGUUAUGACUUCAUCGGCUUGCUCCCUUCUUUACGAAACUUUCUUAAUGCACUUUUCGGUUAACAAGUCAACAUCAAUUUCUUUUGUUGUAAAAGGGUAUGAGGAAGGUGGCUUUCUUUUCGGAGAAAGUGUUUAUAGCCUUGUGCCUCUGCAAUCGGAGAGAUUGAGGUCUGCAGCGUAGAUCCUUCGGGGUUAGAUACGUUUGUGCUAAGUUAUAGCUUUUCAUAGACAACUUGUUGACUAUGUUUAGUCUUGUAGCUUACUCGCUGACGCUAUUUUACCUACGCUUAGGAUGUUGAUAGUCACAGCGUGUAC
rnacentral:rRNA from 1 species